UACGUAGGGGGCUAGCGUUGUCCGGAUUUAUUGGGCGUAAAGAGCGUGUAGGCGGCCAGGUAGGUCUGCUGUGAAAACUCGAGGCUUAACCUCGAGAUGUCGGCGGAAACCAUCUGGCUAGAGUUCGGGAGAGGGAAGCGGAAUUCCGGGUGUAGCGGUGGAAUGCGUAGAGAUCCGGAAGAACACCGGUGGCGAAGGCGGUCUGCUGGGCAGUUGCUGACACUGAGGCGCGACAGCGUGGGGAGCAAACAGGG
rnacentral:rRNA from 1 species